CAAUAGCGUAUACUAAUGUUGUUGCAGUUAAAAGCUCGUAGUCGGAUUUCAGUUUGUUUACGCUUAACCUUUUAGGUUUUUGUGUCAGCUUACUUUAUGCAAGAAACUUUCAUGCCAUUUGUUUGGUUUGGUUUGGGACUUGCUCAUUUACUUUGAGAAAAUUAGAGUGUUCAAAGCAGGUAUUUGCCUGAAUAUUACUCUUGGAAUAAUAAUAUAGGACUUCAGUUCUAGUUUGUUGGUGAUCUGGAACCGGAGUAAUGAUUGAUAGGGACAGUUGGGGUCAUUCAUACUGCAAAGCGAGAGGUGGAAUUCUUGGACCUUUGUAUGAUGAACAACAGCGAAAGCAUUUGACUAGGAUGUUCCCGUUGAUCAAGAACGAAAGUUGGGGGAUCGAAGACGAUUAGAUACCAU
rnacentral:rRNA from 1 species